rnacentral:rRNA from 1 species
UGGAGCCUGCGGUUUAAUUGGACUCAACGCCGGGCAGCUCACCGGAUAAGACAGCUGGAUGAUAGCCGGGCUGAAGACUCUGCUUGACUAGCUGAGAGGAGGUGCAUGGCCGUCGUCAGUUCGUACUGUGAAGCAUCCUGUUAAGUCAGGCAACGAGCGAGACCCACGCCAACAGUUGCCAGCUCGUCCUCCGGGAUGGUGGGGACACUGUUGGGACCGCCUCUGCUAAAGAGGAGGAAGGAAUGGGCAACGGUAGGUCAGCAUGCCCCGAAUUAUCUGGGCUACACGCGGGCUACAAUGGGUGGGACAAUGGGUAUCGACACCGAAAGGUGAAGGCAAUCUCCUAAACCCAUCCGUAGUUCGGAUUGUGGGCUGCAACUCGCCCACAUGAAGCUGGAAUCUGUAGUAAUCGUGUCUCAAAAUGGCACGGUGAAUAUGUCCCUGCUCCUU